rnacentral:lncRNA from 1 species
ACGAGGCUGUGCAAAAAAAAAAAAGACCAGAUAAAAGAUUACACACGGCAAAAUGAAAUCAAAUCAUAAGUACAUCCAAAAUUUGUGAUCAAUAUAGAUUCUCACAUGAAUGUUACAGGAAGAUUUUAUUACUGGAUCCCAACAUUUUUCAUUGUUUGACGUGAUAGCAGGGUGCAACUCUAGUCACAUACAAGGCAGUUACAAUUCUGUUGGGUAACACUGACGGCCACACAGUAAGAUGACUUAGCGUGACGUCCCCAGGAAUUCUGGCAUGCUAUAUGGCAAGAUAAUUCUAUGCAUGCAGCGCUGCCAUAAGCAAUAUGCACCUCGCAAUUACCUAUGGACAAGAAUACACAUCAUUAAAAUGAGUUCAAAUAGACAAAGUUCCAUAGAAAAUUUAGUUUCAACCGACAAGGUUAUUCUCGCCCCCAGUUGACAGGAGAAAGAAAACAUAGGGAGAUCCAGUUCGUACCAGCAUGAGUGGAAUUUCCUAGCAGAAAAAGCACCAUAAGGCAUAGAAGAAUGGUUUUCCCCUCCAUAGGAUUUAACACAAAUCUUCUUCUCGUUUAUG